AGGGUUCGAUUCUGGCUCAGGAUAAACGUUGGCGGCGUGCCUAAUGCAUGCAAGUCGAGGGACGAAUCUGGCUUCGGCCAGUUGAAACCGGCGAACGGGUGAGUAACACGUACCUAUCUACCUUUAAGUGGGGGACAACUUCGGGAAACCGAAGCUAAUACCGCAUGAUGUCGUAAGACCAAAGCCUUCGGGCGCUUUUAGAGGAGGGUGCGUCAGAUUAGCUAGUUGGUAGGGUAAUGGCCUACCAAGGCAAUGAUCUGUAGCUGGUCUGAGAGGACGGUCAGCCACACUGGGACUGAGACACGGCCCAGACUCCUACGGGAGGCAGCAGCAAGGAAUUUUCCGCAAUGGACGAAAGUCUGACGGAGCAACGCCGCGUGAAGGAAUAAGGCCUUAGGGUCGUAAACUUCUUUUGUGAGGGAAGAGGAUCUGACGGUACCUCACGAAUAAUGCACGGCUAACUACGUGCCAGCCGCCGCGGUAAUU
rnacentral:rRNA from 1 species